CACUUAUUGAUGAGGACUGGGUCCAGGGUGUCCAAAAAAAACGCAAUUCAUCAAGGGUGGUGGCCUCUGCCCAAAUUGCUGUGGUGUGGUAAAACAUUUGAGUGCUGGAUCAGAGUCAAUAAUAUGGCAAUGUCUCUUAGUGAUGGAUUCAAACUCUCUGCCAAGAGGUCAGCUGCCUGGGCUUGGAAAUCACCAUCAGAACUACAAAUCCUGCCAACUCUACUAAAUUGAGACCAGGGCAGACUCCUCUUAAGUGGAAUAGGGUGGAAAGAUUGACCAUGAAGAAUAUAGUUUCUGUCUUACGGUACAGGUUAGAGCCAAGUCUGUUAGAGUCUCUGUACGUAUAACAAUGUCUAAAAAGUUAAUGUGCAUGUUAUAUUCCACUGUGAAUUUCAAAUGUUGACUGCUAGUGUUGA